AGCCCUCAAUAAAGGUCCCCAAUAGUUGUUUUUCAGACCAAUCACGAGUUUGAUUAGAUAACCUUUCAAACCUGGUUUGGUACUCCUGAAUGGUGGAGGUUUAUCGGAUCUUUGCUAGUUGUCCGUCAAUGUUCUCGUAAUAAGUUGGUCCAAAGCGGUUCAGCAGUCCUUCUUUGAAUUGUCACCAUGAAAGGACUCCAUA
rnacentral:lncRNA from 1 species